UACGGAGGGUGCGAGCGUUGUUCGGAAUCACUGGGCGUAAAGGGCGUGUAGGCGGUCCGUUAAGUCUGAUGUGAAAGCCCGGGGCUCACCCCCGGAAGGGCAUUGGAAACUGGACGGACUCGAGUCCGGCAGAGGAGAGUGGAAUUCCGUGGUGUGAGCGGUGAAAUGCGUAGAGUAUCAGGAGGAACACCGGUGGCGAAGGCGGCUCUCUGGAGCGGGUGACUGACGCUAAGACGGCGAAAGCGUGGGGAGCAAA
rnacentral:rRNA from 1 species